rnacentral:misc_RNA from 1 species
CGCACAUUGCGCCCCUUGGUAUUCCAGGGGGCAUGCCUGUCCGAGCGUCAUUGCACAUCUCAAGCGUAGCUUGGUAUUGGGCAUCGCUCCCCGCCGGGGGUGUGUCUGAACAGUAGUGGCGGUUCGACGUGACCUUUGAACGAAGUAAAUUUCUCCCCGUUCCGAAGGAUUUUCACGCCGAUACCUGCCAAAACGCGCCCUUUUCCACGAUUGACCUCGGAUCAGGUAGGGAUACCCGCUGAACUUAA